AGUUGAAACACCGGUUCUCGUACGAUCACUGAAGUUAAGCAAUGUCGAGCCUGUUGAUGGGUGACCGCUUGGGAAUAAAAAGUGAUGUAAG